rnacentral:lncRNA from 1 species
AAUGAUUUGCAUGCUGGUGUGUACUGUGUUACGGAGAGAAGGGUGUAGGUAAGAAAGUGAUUGUCGGCCGGCCAAGCUCAUCUUCCGUCAAGGUAAGCUUCCAGAGUGUCAGAGAGAGUUCACUGCGUACACAAAAGCACCAAAGAAACUGAAGAUUUUUACUUCCUGAAGAGCACUGCACACGUUACCUUGUGUAGUGGAGGAAAAUAGUUGAACAGCCUGUGUUUCACUCAGCUCAGUUUAGAAGCAUUACAAGGCACAGCCUCGUUCUGGGCACAAAGGGACUUGCAAAAAUCAUUUGUCCUUGAGAAGCACAGGAGAGAAACUAUGAAGAAAAAAAAAAUAUAAGUCUACAACAGAACAAUAGAUUCACAAAUAUGUGCAGUGGUGGGAUACAAUGUGUCUACACAUGCUUAGAAAAUGAGGAAAUCACUAGGUGGAAAUAAUUGGAGCAGACUUCAUUACAAAAUUCAUUACUCAGCUGACCAUUGUAGGAAUGAUAAGAUUAAGUCUGGCAAAGUAGAGAGAAUGCCUUCUGAGCUGUGGAAGAAGAGUGAAAGUAAAAGAAUACAAAGCCAAAGACCCUCCCAAUACAGUUUGAAAUUUAAACCUCAUCUAUUCCACAAAUUCCUUCCACUUAAAUGUGGCCGCAAGACUUAGAUCUGGCCAAAAAGUCAACCACACUCUGCCGGGUGCCUGUGUGAGAAGGCUUUACUUAUCCUGAUUGCAAAGAGGCAGACACAGCCAGCCCCAACUUUUUUCAGUCAUUCCUGCCUGGAAAGUUGGAUGUGAUGUCUGGAGCUGCAGCUGCUGUCCUCCAUCAAGAAGGAAAAGACAGAGGAUCAUGAUGUGCUGGAUUCCAUAUCUCUGUGUCCUCUUUGCUUUUUUUUUGGUUUUGUUUUGGGGGUUUUUUGGCUAUGCUCAAGGCACGUGGAAGUUUCUGGGCCAGGGAUCAAACCCAUGCUACAACAGCGAUCUUAGCCACUGCAAUGGCAUCACCAGAUCCUUAACCUACUGCACCUCAAGGGAACUCCUGCAUCCUCUUUUUCAAUGUGGGAAAAAAUAAUCCCACUUGAUUAUAAGUCCCACUUUCUAUUAUUUAUAGAUAAUAGCAUUUUGCUAAUUGAUAUUCUUAGGCUAGUUUUUGACCAGAAAGACAUUGCCCAGAUUUUAGUUGUAUUUGGUAAAACUAAUUAGGAAGAUGGGGUAUAUAUACACAAUGGAAUACUACUCAGCCAUAAAAAAGAAAAAAAAUAAUGCCAUAUGCAGCAACAUGGAUGGAACUUGAAACUCUCAUACUGAGUGAAGUAAGUGAGAAAAAGGAAGACAAAUACUAUAUGAUAUCACUUCUCUCUGGAAUCUAACAUAUAGCACAAAUGAACCUUUCCACAGAAAAAAAAAAUCAUGCACUUAGAGAAUAGACUUGUGGUUACUGGGGGGCGGGGGGAGUGGGAUGGACUGGGAGCUUGGUGUUAAUUGAUGCAAAAUAUUGCUUUUGGAAUGGAUUAGCAAUGAGAUGCUGCUGUGUAGCACUGAGAACUAUGCCUAGUCACUUAUGAUGGAGCAUGAUAAUGGGAGAAAAAGAAUGUAUACAUGUAUGUGUAACUGGGUCACCAUGCUGUACAGUAGAAAAAAAAUUGUACUAGGGAAAUAACAACAAAAAAAAUUUUAAGAACCCUAAUUUUAAAAUAAAAAUGCACAUGAUCCUAAGAUUAUUUCAU